AACGUAGGACACAAGCGUUAUCCGGAGUUACUGGGCGUAAAGGGCGUGUAGGCGGACCUAUAAGUCUAUUCUGAAAGCUCCUUGGCUAAACUGGGAGAGGCGAAUGGAGACUGUAGAUCUAGAGUGAGGAAGAGGAAAGUGGAAUUCCGCGUGUAGUGGUGAAAUGCGUAGAGAUGCGGAGGAACACCAGUGGCGAAAGCGACUUUCUGGUCCUUAACUGACGCUGAGGCGCGAAAGCAUGGGGAGCGAACGGG
rnacentral:rRNA from 1 species